rnacentral:lncRNA from 1 species
CCCGCCCCGCGCCGCCUCUCUGGUUUGUGCGCCCGUCGCAGGUCGCAGGCCUCUUUGUCAGCUGGAGUUGCGCGGGCUGACGCGCCACUAUGUAGCGGGUUUCGGGCGGGCCACGCGUGCGGGACAGGAACCCAACCCCAGCCGACCUUGAGCUCCAGGAGUUCGUCUCUUACGUCUGCGGAAGUGCAGCUGCCUCAGUUCUUAGCGCAGGUUGACAACUACAGGCACAAGCCAUUGAAGCUGGAAUGUCCUGUUGCUGGUAAAGAAAUGGAUUAGUGAUAACUCAAGUUUCAUCACCUCUCUACAAGUUUCACGCUGUUUAAGUCAUGAACCUACAAAAGCCUGUGAAAAAAUCUUUGAAGAUGCUCAGCUUGUUUCAGUCUGAAAUUUCUCCAAGACCAAUGAACAAAACAGGAUCAUGCCCUGAAUACACACCCAAGCUGCAGGCUCCUGCUUAGCCCUAUUUUGGUUUGGCCUCCAUGAGAUCUUCAGCCACAAUAGCAGGAGAUAAAAAUCUUCCUAGAAGCUUUCAUCAGCUGCAAGUUUUCUUACAGAAUGAAACUUUUCUGCUAUUUUUCUCAUAGUUAAUUGGCUAUUUGAGAAAACCGAAUUUCUGGCUCUCAGCAUUUAAUUGGAUUCUGUGGGUGACUGGAUGACCGCUUUGCACAUCACCAUGGGUAUCAUCCUUACCUUCUUUAAACCUUUUGUGCCAGUCAAAAAUUCUUGCUCUUGAUAUGUCAUCACCGGAAACUACUUUUUUUUUUUGUUUCUCUUUUGUGACAGGGUCUUCCUCUGUCACCCAGGCUGGAUGGAGUAUAGUGGAACAAUCAUAGUUCACUGCGGCCUUGGUACCCUAGGCUCAAGCGAUCCUCCCACCUCAGCCUCCUGAGUAGGUGGGACCACAGGUGUGUACCACCAGACCUGGCUAAUUUUGUUAUUGUUGUUUUUUAUAGAGGUGGGGGGGUCUCCCUAUGUUGCCCAGGCCUGUCUUGAACUCACGGGCUCAAGUGAUCCUCCUGCCUCAGCCUCCCAAAGUUCUGGGAUUACAGGGGUGAGCCACUGGACCCAGCCAGAAACUACUUUUAACAGUUCUAAUUGCCACUUGUCUUGGCUGUAUAUUCAGAAAUAGCCAGAUUGGAAUUAUGGUUUUUUGAUUGCUAUUGAUAGGGAGGUUCAAAUGCAAUAUACCAAAAUAGUCUAUUUCAGGUGUCUCACUGACAUAUUUAACUUUACACAAAAUUUAAUAUGAAUUCUUUGCUCUAACAGUCAACAAUUUUUAGGUCAACAAAAGAAUAACUCUAUUCACAUCUAAGAAAGUUAGUUGGCAACCUUAAAAGCUCUGUUGUAGCCAGCUGAAACAUAACCUAUUCCAGCAAUUUCACAAACUACACAAAGAAAAAUUGGUAAAUAUUUCAACAGAUGAGUACAAAUAAUCUUUGGAGAAGCUGAUAAAGAUUUCAGUGCUAUAUCAUCUUAGCCUGCUAUUUUCCCACCUACAAAAGGGUCGAAAAUAAAUCAGCUUUUUCUUGUCCAAUUAAUAGGAAAAUGAUAUAUGAAAUACUUUAAUUAUUAGUCGGCACUGUCCCACCCCGAAAGAACCUAAGACUUAAAAAUACAUCCUAAUAACAUGUAUAUUGCCACUUGGCUGUACACUGAAGACUCAGGUAUCUACAGUAUUUUGUAUUCUCUUCCCGAUUGCACGAUUUUUUCAGUGCUUUGCUUUCAGGGAAAACAGACUCAGGCUGGUCUUUCUUAUGGUAUUAAGUACAGGCUACUUUAAGAUAAUUUUGUGGUGUUUGCUAAAUUCAAGAAAUCAAUACAGGCCGGGCGUGGUAGCUCACACCUGUAAUCCCAGCACUUUGGGAGGCCGAUUCCGGCGGAUCACCUGAGGUCAGGAGUUCAAGACCAGCCUGGCCAACAUGGUGAAACCCCGUCUCUACAAAAUAUACAAAAAUUAGCCGGGCGUGGUGGCUGGCGCCUGUAAUCCCAGCUACUUGGGAGGCUGAGGUGGGAUGAUCGCUUGAACUCGGGAGGUAGAGGUUGCAGUGAGCCGAGAUCGCGCCACUGCACUCCAGCCUGGGCGACAGAGCGACACCGUCUUAAAAAAAAAAAAAA